rnacentral:rRNA from 1 species
GACGAACGCUGGCGGCGUGCUUAACACAUGCAAGUCGAACGGAAAGGCCCUGCUUGCAGGGUACUCGCGUGGCGAACGGGUGAGUAACACGUGGGUGAUCUGCCCUCCACUUCGGGUUAAGCUUGGGCAGCUGGGUCUAAUACCGGAUAGGAGCCAUCUUUAGUGUGGUGGUUGGAAAGUUUUUUCGGUGUAGGAUGAGCUCGCGGCCUAUCAGCUUGUUGGUGGGGUAAUGGGCUACCAAGGCGGCGUCGGGUAGCCGGCCUGAGAGGGUGUACGGCCACAUUGAGACUGAGGUACGGCCCAGACUCCUACGGGAGGCAGCAGUGGGGAAUAUUGCACAAUGGGCGCAAGCCGGAUGCAGCGACGCCGCGUGGCGGAUGAAGGUCUUCGGGUUGUAAACUCAUUUCGCUAGGGACGAAGCUUUUUGUGACGGUACCUAGAGAAGAAGCACCGGCUAACUACGUG